GAUGAACGCUGGCGGCGUGCCUAAUACAUGCAAGUCGAGCGAACAGACGAGGAGCUUGCUCCUCUGACGUUAGCGGCGGACGGGUGAGUAACACGUGGAUAACCUACCUAUAAGACUGGGAUAACUUCGGGAAACCGGAGCUAAUACCGGAUAAUAUAUUGAACCGCAUGGUUCAAUAGUGAAAGACGGUUUUGCCGUCACUUAUAGAUGGAUCCGCGCCGCAUUAGCUAGUUGGUAAGGUAACGGCUUACCAAGGCGACGAUGCGUAGCCGACCUGAGAGGGUGAUCGGCCACACUGGAACUGAGACACGGUCCAGACUCCUACGGGAGGCAGCAGUAGGGAAUCUUCCGCAAUGGGCGAAAGCUUGACGGAGCAACGCCGCGUGAGUGAUGAAGGUCUUCGGAUCGUAAAACUCUGUUAUUAGGGAAGAACAAAUGUGUAAGUAACUAUGCACGUCUUGACGGUACCUAAUCAGAAAGCCACGGCUAACUACGUG
rnacentral:rRNA from 1 species